rnacentral:lncRNA from 1 species
GGAUUCCUCAUGCAAUCGGACCUCUCCAAUGGACAAUCUUAAGAUGAGCUUCCACAUCAGGAAAAUUCCAGACGGACUUCUCUGGCAAUCAGAUUUCUAUCGAACUUCACCAAUGGAAAGUCCCCAUCUGAGCUUCUACAACAGAUGACUCCCACCUGCAGCAUUAGCGCCCAAGGCACCCGAUAAUAGUGGACUCGUCAG